rnacentral:rRNA from 1 species
AUUGAACGCUGGCGGCAGGCCUAACACAUGCAAGUCGAGCGGAUGAAGGGAGCUUGCUCCUGGAUUCAGCGGCGGACGGGUGAGUAAUGCUUAGGAAUCUGCCUGGUAGUGGGGGAUAACGUCCGGAAACGGGCGCUAAUACCGCAUACGUCCUGAGGGAGAGAGUGGGGGAUCUUCGGACCUCACGCUAUCAGAUGAGCCUAGGUCGGAUUAGCUAGUUGGUGGGGUAAAGGCCUACCAAGGCGACGAUCCGUAACUGGUCUGAGAGGAUGAUCAGUCACACUGGAACUGAGACACGGUCCAGACUCCUACGGGAGGCAGCAGUGGGGAAUAUUGGACAAUGGGCGAAAGCCUGAUCCAGCCAUGCCGCGUGUGUGAAGAAGGUCUUCGGAUUGUAAAGCACUUUAAGUUGGGAGGAAGGGCAGUAAGUUAAUACCUUGCUGUUUUGACGUUACCAACAGAAUAAGCACCGGCUAACUUCGUG